rnacentral:lncRNA from 1 species
AUAGAAGCAAUAGUGCAAGAAGCUGCUCAAGGAACCAUAUGUAGCAGUGACGCUCUUAAUCUAUGAUUAGAGAAUCAGGUUAACAGUGGUACAUCAUCACAAUCACAAGGAGGUUCACUUCCUAUCCCUACUGCAUUGAAGAACUUUUCAAUGUCCCAGAAGGAAAAAACUCUUGAUGAAUUUGUACGAGAUAAAUGGCUUUCCUUCACUGCUGAGGGUCAUGUUGGACUUGGUGUC